GCCGCCCAUUGCCGAGAAAUUGUGAGCCAUUGCCCAGAAAUUUGAGCCAUGGCUGCCCAUUGCCGAGAAAUUUUGUGCCAUUGCCUAGAAAAUUGGGCCAUGGCUGCCCAUUGCCGAGAAAUCUGAGCCAUGGCCGGGCAAAUGGGAGCCAUUGCUCAGAAAUUUUAGCCAUGGCUGCCCAUUGCCAAGAAAUGUUGUGCCAUUGCCUAGAAAAUUGGGCCAUGGCUUCCCAUUGCCGAGAAAUUUAAGGCAUGGCCGGGCAAAUGCGUGGCAUGGCUGCCACAUUCCGAGGGAAAUGAGUGCCAUGCCGGAGAAAUGUGAAACCAGGGUGGGCAAUUGAGAGGAAAAUUGGGCCAUGGUGGGCAUUUGUGUGCCUAGGCUGACAUUGCCUCUAGAAAAAUGGAGAGCCAUUGCCCAGAACAGGAAAUGAGGCCAUGGCUGCCCAUUGCCGAGAAAUCUGAGCCAUGGCCGGGCAAAUGCGUGCCAUGGCUGCCCAUUGCCUAGAAAAUGGAGCCAUUGCCCAGAAAUUUUAGCCAUGGCUGCCCAUUGCCAAGAAAUGUUGUGCCAUUGCCUAGAAAAUUGGGCCAUGGCUUCCCAUUGCCGAGAAAUUUAAGGCAUGGCCGUGCAAAUGCGUGGCAUGGCUGGCCAUUGCCGAGGAAAUGAGUGCCAUUGCCGAGAAAUGUGAACCAUGGCUGGGCAAUUGCCGAGAAAAUUGGGCCAUGGCUGGGCAUUUGUGUGCCUAGGCUGAUCAUUGCCUAGAAAUUGUGAGCCAUUGCCCAGAAAUUUGAGCCAUGGCUGCCCAUUGCCGAGAAAUCUGAGCCAUGGCCGGGCAAA
rnacentral:lncRNA from 1 species